CCUACGGGUGGCAGCAGUAGGGAAUAUUGCUCAAUGGGGGAAACCCUGAAGCAGCAACGCCGCGUGGAGGAUGAAGGUUUUCGGAUUGUAAACUCCUUUUGUUAGAGAAGAUAAUGACGGUAUCCUACGAAUGAGCACCGGCUAACUCCGUGCCAGCCGCCGCGGUAAUACGGAGGGUGCAAGCGUUACUCGGAAUCACUGGGCGUAAAGAGGGCGUAGGCGGGAUAGCAAGUCAGAGGUGAAAUCCUAUGGCUUAACCAUCGGACUGCAUUUGAAACUGUUAUUCUAGAGUAUGGGAGGGGUAGGUGGAAUUCUUGGUGUAGGGGUAAAAUCCGUAGAGAUCAAGAGGAAUACUCAUGGCGAAGGCGACCUGCUAGAACAUAACUGACGCUGAGGCGCGAAAGCGUGGGGAGCGAACAGGAUUAGAUACCCUAGUAGUC
rnacentral:rRNA from 1 species